rnacentral:rRNA from 1 species
GACGAACGCUGGCGGCGUGCUUAACACAUGCAAGUCGAGCGGUAAGGCCCUUUCGGGGGUACACGAGCGGCGAACGGGUGAGUAACACGUGGGUGACCUGCCCUCAGCUCUGGGAUAAGCCUGGGAAACCGGGUCUAAUACUGGAUAUGACUCCAUGACGCAUGUUGUGGGGUGAAAGCCUUGUGCGGCUGAGGAUGGGCCCGCGGCCUAUC